UACGUAGGGUGCAAGCGUUUAAUCGGAAUUACUGGGCGUAAAGGGUGCGCAGGCGGUUGUUUAAGUCAGCUGUGAAAAUCCCCCGGGCUUAACCUGGGAAUGGCAGUUGAGACUGGACAGCUAGAGUGUGUCAGAGGGGGGGUGGAAUUCCACGUGUAGCAGUGAAAUGCGUAGAGAUGUGGAGGAACACCGAUGGCGAAGGCAGCCCCCUGGGAUAACACUGACGCUCAGGCACGAAAGCGUGGGGAGCAAACAGG
rnacentral:rRNA from 1 species